rnacentral:rRNA from 1 species
UACGUAGGGAGCAAGCGUUGUCCGGAAUCAUUGGGCGUAAAGAGCGCGUAGGCGGUCCGGUAAGUCGGUUGUGAAAACUGGGGGCUCAACCCUCAGAGGCCGACCGAUACUGCCGGGCUAGAGUCCGGAAGAGGCGAGUGGAAUUCCUGGUGUAGCGGUGAAAUGCGCAGAUAUCAGGAAGAACACCUAUGGCGAAGGCAGCUCUCUGGGACGGUACUGACGCUGAGACGCGAAAGCGUGGGGAGCGAACAGG